UACGUAGGGUGCAAGCGUUGUCCGGAAUUAUUGGGCGAAAGAGCUCGUAGGCGGUCUGUCGCGUCGGCUGUGAAAACUCGGGGCUCAACUCCGAGCUUGCAGUCGAUACGGGGCAGGCUAGAGUUCGGCAGGGGGAGACUGGAAUUCCGGGUGUAGCGGUGGAAUGCGUAGAGAUCCGGAGGAAGACCGGUGGCGAAGGCGGUCUGCUGGGGCAGUUUCUGGACACUGAUGCGCGGACAGCGUGGGGGACAAACAGGGAUUAGAAAACCCG
rnacentral:rRNA from 1 species